rnacentral:hammerhead_ribozyme from 1 species
AUCCAGCUGACAAGUCCCAAAUAGGACGAAACAUGCGUGUAACUAGAU